CCUACGGGAGGCUGCAGUGGGGAAUAUUGGACAAUGGGGGCAACCCUGAUCCAGCCAUGCCGCGUGUGUGAAGAAGGCCCUCGGGUUGUAAAGCACUUUCAGUGAGGAAGAACGCCUGGUGGUUAAUACCCAUCAGGAAAGACAUCACUCACAGAAGAAGCACCGGCUAACUCCGUGCCAGCAGCCGCGGUAAUACGGAGGGUGCGAGCGUUAAUCGGAAUUACUGGGCGUAAAGCGCGCGUAGGUGGCUUGAUAAGCCGGUUGUGAAAGCCCCGGGCUCAACCUGGGAACGGCAUCCGGAACUGUCAAGCUAGAGUGCAGGAGAGGAAAGUAGAAUUCCCGGUGUAGCGGUGAAAUGCGUAGAGAUCGGGAGGAAUACCAGUGGCGAAGGCGGCCUUCUGGACUGACACUGACACUGAGGUGCGAAAGCGUGGGUAGCAAACAGGAUUAGAUACCCGUGUAGUC
rnacentral:rRNA from 1 species